CCUACGGGAGGCAGCAGUGGGGAAUAUUGGGCAAUGGGCGCAAGCCUGACCCAGCAACGCCGCGUGAAGGAAGAAGGCUUUCGGGUUGUAAACUUCUUUUAAGAGGGAAGAACAGCAGACGGUACCUCUUGAUUAAGCCACGGCUAACUACGUGCCAGCAGCCGCGGUAAUACGUAGGUGGCAAGCGUUGUCCGGAUUUACUGGGUGUAAAGGGCGUGUAGCCGGGCUGACAAGUCAGUUGUGAAAUCCCGUGGCUCAACCACGGAACUGAAAUUGAAACUGUCGGUCUUGAGUAUCGGAGAGGCAGGCGGAAUUCGUAGUGUAGCGGUGAAAUGCGUAGAUAUUAGGAGGAACACCAGUGGCGAAGGCGGCCUGCUGGACGACAACUGACGGUGAGGCGCGAAAGCGUGGGGAGCAAACAGGAGUAGAUACCCUAGUAGUC
rnacentral:rRNA from 1 species